rnacentral:misc_RNA from 1 species
UUAAGUUCAGCGGGUAGUCCUACCUGAUUUGAGGUCAAGUCGUCAAGAAAGACGAGGGCUUCCCGACCUUCGAUCCCGCCCUGCGUUCGUCGGCCUCACAACCGACUAGUAACUAAAGCUUCGCUCGAAAGUCCUAUUCCCAAGUCAAAGGAUUGGAAGCAAAGGGACAUAUUGUGCCAUCGACCACUCCAGCUACGACG